rnacentral:rRNA from 1 species
AUUGAACGCUGGCGGCAGGCCUAACACAUGCAAGUAGAGCGGAGCGGCGGACGGGUGAGGAAUGCCUAGGAAUCUGCCUGGUAGUGGGGGAUAACGUCCGGCAACGGGCGCUAAUACCGCAUACUAUCAGAUGAGCCUAGGUCGGAUUAGCUAGUUGGUGGGGUAAAGGCCUAACAAGGCAACGAUCCGUAACUGGUCUGAGAGGAUGAUCAGUCACACUGGAACUGAGAAACGGUCCAGACUCCUACGGGAGGCAGCAGGGGGGAAUAUUGGACAAUGGGCGAAAGACGGAGCCAGCCAUGCCGCGUGUGUGAAGAAGGUCUUCGGAUUGUAAAGCACUUUAAGUUGGGAGGCGUUACCAACAGAAUAAGCACCGGCUAACUUCGUGCCAGCCGCCGCGGUAAUUC